GAAUACAUGCUCUUUUAUCUGAGAAUAUGUAUGUAUUAUGAUAAAGAUUCAUUGUCGUCUAUUGUCAGAAAAACAAUAUUAUGCUUGUUAACGAGAAGCGUUCCCGAAUUCAAUUAUGAGCUGCUUUAGUAACGAGUAAAAUAAGAACGAUACUUCUGUAUAAGAGUAUCAUAACGUUUUACCACAAUAUCCUAAGAUUAUUAUAUUAUGAGAUUGUUAGUAAAACUAGCCGUGGUAAUUGAAUACAAAAUGUAUAAUUAAUAUAAUGAUUCGCAAAAUUUUUGACUGCAAAAUAAAAACCAUUAUGAGAGAGAUUUUAGAAGGAAGAAGAAAGCAGGAAAGUAAUUAUUAUUGACAACGAGUGUCACUUGUGGGUAUCUACCUCUACAUGUCGUUUUUAAAUAUUAUAGGAUAUACACUCAAACAUGCGCCUUGCUUCUUUACAACCAAGCAAUUACUCGUACUUCAUAAACUGCUAGUAGACGCAAGCAUAUUUAAACAUUCAGCAGGAACCUGUCUUUUCAGGAAAGCGAAAACGAGUUUAAAAUGUUUGUAUAUAGAAUGUGUGAUGAUUACCAGCUUACCCUCUUUUUUGAGAUACGAAAUCACGCUUCAGAACUCUGGUUAAAUUACUCGCGUCUUUGCAGCUAUAUAAAAUUUGGUUUGCCAAUGUCUCUAGCAGUUUAAUAUUCCUUCUAUUUUAAAGGAUUUGUUGUUUGGAGGAAAUGCAAGUAAAUUCACGAAUUAUAUUAAUAUGAUACAAAGGACGCAAAGCUUCUUAAUAUAGCGAUACAGAAAGCAGUUAUUAAAUGCAAAAAGUUGAUUUAAUUAACUCAAUCUUCGGGAACAAAAUUUGGAUUUGAUUCAAAAAAGCCUCACCUCUUAAGGAAAUAAUGCUGUUGCAAGAUUUCACUAGACUCACGACUGAUUAAACAACGCCUACACAACAGAUAAAGUUAUAAACUGACGCAGCACUGAAUGUUCAAUAACAAUAAAAAAACCACAACAUAAACACAAGUUCUAAUUUGUUCAUGUUUUAAAGGCAACUUUUAGGAAUAACGCAUGCCGAUUUCAUUAAAGAUAAACAGCCUAAAGUUACCUAAAAACCGAAGAGGCAGGCUUUAAGAUACGCGU